CCUACGGGAGGCAGCAGUGGGGGAUAUUGCACAAUGGGGGAACCCUGAUGCAGCGACGCCGCGUGGGUGAAGGAGCGUUUCGGCGCGUAAAGCCCUAUCCGCAGGGAAGAAGAUGACGGUACCUGACCAAGAAGCCCCGGCGAACUACGGGCCAGCAGCCGCGGUAAUACGUAGGGGGCAAGCGUGAUCCGGAUUUACUGGGUGCAAAGGGGGCGCAGACGGCAAUGCAAGCCAGGAGUGAAAGCCCGGGGCUCAACGCCGGGAGUGCUCUUGGAACUGGAUGGCUAGAGUACAGGAGAGGCAGGCGGAAUUCCUGGUGUAGCGGUGAAAUGCGUAGAUAUUAGGAGGAACACCGGUGGCGAAGGCGGCCGGCUGGACUGUGACUGACGUUGAGGCCCGAAGGCGUGGGGAGCAAACAGGAUUAGAUACCCGUGUAGUC
rnacentral:rRNA from 1 species